rnacentral:rRNA from 1 species
GAUGAACGCUGGCGGCGUGCCUAAUACAUGCGAGUCGAGCGAACAGACGAGGAGCUUGCUCCCCUGACGUUAGCGGCAGACGGGUGAGUAACACGUGGAUAACCUACCUAUAAGACUGGGAUAACUUCGGGAAACCGGAGCUAAUACCGGAUAAUAUAUUGAACCGCAUGGUUCAAUAGUGAAAGACGGUUUUGCUGUCACUUAUAGAUGGAUCCGCGCCGCAUUAGCUAUUUGGUAAGGUAACGGCUUACCAAGGCAACGAUGCGUAGCCGACCUGAGAGGGUGAUCGGCCACACUAGAACUGAGACACGGUCCAGACUCCUACGGGAGGCAGCAGUAGGGAAUCUUCCGCAAUGGGCGAAAGCCUGACGGAGCAACGCCGCGUGAGUGAUGAAGGUCUUCGGAUCGUAAAACUCUGUUAUUAGGGAAGAACAAAUGUGUAAGUAACUAUGCACGUCUUGACGGUACCUAAUCAGAAAGCCACGGCUAACUACGUG